rnacentral:rRNA from 1 species
UACGGAAGAGGCAAGCGUUAUCCGGAAUUACUGGGCGUAAAGAGUUGCGUAGGCGGCAUGAUAAGUCAGCAGUGAAAGCGUGGGGCUCAACCCCAUAUACAUUGUUGAAACUGUCAAGCUAGAGGAUGAGAGAGGUUAUUGGAAUUCCCAGUGUAGGAGUGAAAUCCGUAGAUAUUGGGAGGAACACCGAUGGCGUAGGCAGAUAACUGGCUCAUUCCUGACGCUAAGGCACGAAAGCGUGGGGAGCAAACGGG